GGGUUGUGAGGUUAAGCGACUAAGCGUACACGGUGGAUGCCCUGGCAGUCAGAGGCGAUGAAGGACGUGCUAAUCUGCGAUAAGCGUCGGUAAGGUGAUAUGAACCGUUAUAACCGGCGAUUUCCGAAUGGGGAAACCCAGUGUGAUUCGUCACACUAUCAUUAACUGAAUCCAUAGGUUAAUGAGGCGAACCGGGGGAACUGAAACAUCUAAGUACCCCGAGGAAAAGAAAUCAACCG
rnacentral:rRNA from 1 species